UCCUCCGUGGCGCAAUUGGCUAGCGCGUCAGACUGUUAAGUGAUCCCCCGGUGUCGACUCUAUAUCGACACCGGACAAGAUCUCAGAUCAUCUGGAGGCUGUAAGUUCAAUCCUUACCGGAGGAG